rnacentral:lncRNA from 1 species
UGUUCUUUAAGUGUGGGAUUGUUUGGGUUUUGUUGUUGAGCCACUUGCUUUGUGACAGCUUACACCUUCAGGCAUUUCCAAUAAAAUAGGGGAGGGGUGGCGACAGUUUCUCUAGACAGGUUUGGAGUCUGGGGAAGAUGACUCAGACUCGCCAACUUUCUCCCAGCCACCAUCUGGCAAGCCCGUGAAUGUGAAAUGGGAGAGUCAGUGUCCUUCCAAUCAACGAAGAGCACCGCUGGCCACAAGACAGGAACUUGAGCACAAAGCCCAAGUUCCUCUGAAGGAUGGAUUUCUCCAGCACUGUCUUUUG